rnacentral:rRNA from 1 species
UGGGGAAUUUUGCACAAUGGGGGAAACCCUGAUGCAGCGACGCCGCGUGAUUUAGAAGGCCUUCGGGUUGUAAAAAUCUUUUGUAUGGGAAGAAAAUGACAGUACCAUACGAAUAAGGACCGGCUAAUUACGUGCCAGCAGCCGCGGUAAUACGUAAGGUCCGAGCGUUGUCCGGAAUCAUUGGGCGUAAAGGGUACGUAGGCGGAUAAGCAAGUUAGAAGUGAAAUCCUAUAGCUCAACUAUAGUAAGCUUUUAAAACUGCUCAUCUUGAGGUAUGGAAGGGAAAGUGGAAUUCCUAGUGUAGCGGUGAAAUGCGCAGAUAUUAGGAGGAAUACCGGUGGCGAAGGCGACUUUCUGGACUUUUACUGACGCUCAGGUACGAAAGCGUGGGGAGCAAACAGG